rnacentral:SRP_RNA from 1 species
GCUGGGCGUGGUGGCGCACGCCUGUAAUCCCAGCACUCGGGAGGCUGAGGCAGGAGGAUCCCUACGAGUUCAAGACCAGCCUGGGCUACAAACUGAGCUCAAGGCCAGCCUGAACUACACAGGGAGACCCUGUCUCAA